CCCGUCGGACCAACGUGGACCUCGGGGCAGUACCCGCAGACUCUGACCCUGUACAUCCUCAUCAGCUUCUUGGCUCCCGCUCUCAUCUCUUCCCACGCUUGUAGAGUCUCUUCCGCUAGGGAGACUGUUUCUUCUUCGUUGGAAGGUGGAGUGAUCUCUGAGGGAGGUAGCUCGGUUAACAACGGCUCUGGAGGAAAGUGAGGCUCUGGAUCAGGCAGUUCGGUUUCAUCUGCGUCUACGAACUCGCUUUUGCCGAUGCGGAUUAUCGGUUUUCUUCUCCUUUUCGUUGGAAACUCAGGGAUCUCAACGCCUCCUUGGAUGCAGAGCUCGACUACGGCGGGGACUCGAGGGAUGGUGAAUCUCUCAUCGUGACGGAUGCGCUUGCCGAGACGGUCGUAGAGGUGGUAAGCUUCAAGAGGGACAAUGACGUCUUCGAGGACAGAGUUUGUCCAUUCAUGAUGACCUUUCCUUUGAGAAGCACUAGGACCUUUACACGACUUAAACGGAUGACCGUAAGGUCCAACGUGGAUCUCAUUACACCACCUAAGAGACAAAACAAGAACAACACAUAACCAAACAUAACAAGAAGAGGAAGAAGAAGAAGAAGAAGAGGAGUUAUUAAUUUAUUAUUACCCACAAGCGUUAACACGAACUACUUUCAUGAGGCGGUGGAGAUUGUUGAUCAGUCUGAUUCUCGCGUUGUACACUUUGUAAGCAAGAGGGACGAGAAGAGACAUGAGCCUGAUAAGAAUAGUUAUAGGAACAGAACAGAAGUGAACUUGCUAAAAGAAGAAGAAGGAGAAGACAGUUACUUACUUAAAAAGCUAAUCCAUGGCUUUAGACUGAUUUCAAACGUGACGAUGAUGAUGAGGGAUAACGCUUUGCAGUUUGAGGAAAAAAGUAAGAAGAAGAAGAAGAAGACACGAAAGUGGGUGUGAAUGUGAAAGCGAGCAGACCAGACAAGUGGUAUCUUGCCUUUACCAAAGAUAAAUAAAACUAAAGCAAUGAAGAAGAAAGGGAAUCUGGUAAAUGACGUUUUUACCCUUGAUUAUUUCAAAAAGUAGAUUUGUUCUUUUUAAAAAGUCUCAAAAGUGAUGUUUCAAACACAAGAUGAGACACCGUCACUAGUCAACUGGUUGGAACUUAAAAUAAUGUGAUUUUCAAUUAAAUAAUUAUACUAUGAAAAAAGGACAAACAUGUUCAAGGGAUCCAAAACUUCAAGGUCUGAAGCUGAAACUGAACAAUUGUGUUGGAUUUGUUUGUCCUACUUAUUAUCUAUCAAGUAUUUAAGUUUAUACUUAUGCCACAUGUACCUAGGUGCAUAUUAUCUACUGCAAAGAUGUCAUUCAAUGGUUCUUAAGUUAGAUUGUGGUAAUAGACAAGCAGUGAUGCUAUAAACAUCAAAUCAAACGACCAUUUCAGCUUCUUGAACACUAGAAGGUAUCCCAACCUCCAGUCUCAUAGUAGCCCUAUACUGUUCAGGCACUCCAGCACCAGCCUGCGCACAUAUCUCCACAACAGCAGGUGCUUGCCCGUAGAAGCUUCUCAGCUCCCUCUGCAUCGGCGGCCCAUUCACAUCAGGAACAUGCCAAACGUAUCUCGGCGGUAUCAAGUCAUCAAGCACCGCAGACUGCCAACCGUGCUGACCAUUCCUCUGCUGGUGCUUGAACGCGCCGCAGUUCUGCGCCUUGUGCCCCGUCGGACCAACGUGGACCUCGGGGCAGUACCCGCAGACUCUGACCCUGUACAUCCUCAUCAGCUUCUUGGCUCCCGCUCUCAUCUCUUCCCACGCUUGUAGAGUCUCUUCCGCUAGGGAGACUGUUUCUUCUUCGUUGGAAGGUGGAGUGAUCUCUGAGGGAGGUAGCUCGGUUAACAACGGCUCUGGAGGAAAGUGAGGCUCUGGAUCAGGCAGUUCGGUUUCAUCUGCGUCUACGAACUCGCUUUUGCCGAUGCGGAUUAUCGGUUUUCUUCUCCUUUUCGUUGGAAACUCAGGGAUCUCAACGCC
rnacentral:lncRNA from 1 species